rnacentral:rRNA from 1 species
GAAACGAUGUGGGAAGGCUUAGACAGCUAGGAUGUUGGCUUAGAAGCAGCCAUCAUUUAAAGAAAGCGUAAUAGCUCACUAGUCGAGUCGGCCUGCGCGGAAGAUGUAACGGGGCUAAGUAAUAAACCGAAGCUGCGGCAAUGAAGUUUACUUCAUUGGGUAGGGGAGCGUUCUGUAAGCCGUUGAAGGUGAGUUGUAAAGCUUGCUGGAGGUAUCAGAAGUGCGAAUGCUGACAUGAGUAACGAUAAAGGGGGUGAAAAACCCCCUCGCCGGAAGACCAAGGGUUCCUGUCCAACGUUAAUCGGGGCAGGGUAAGUCGACCCCUAAGGCGAGGCCGAAAGGCGUAGUCGAUGGGAAACGGGUUAAUAUUCCCGUACUUCUUACAAUUGCGAUGGGGGGACGGAGAAGGCUAGGUGGGCCUGGCGACGGUUGUCCAGGUUCAAGUGCGUAGGCUUGAGAGUUAGGUAAAUCCGGCUCUCUUUAAGGCUGAGACACGAUGUCGAGCUACUACGGUAGUGAAGUCAUUGAUGCCAUGCUUCCAGGAAAAGCCUCUAAGCUUCAGAUUGUAAGGAAUCGUACCCCAAACCGACACAGGUGGUCGGGUAGAGAAUACCAAGGCGCUUGAGAGAACUCGGGUGAAGGAACUAGGCAAAAUGGUACCGUAACUUCGGGAGAAGGUACGCUCUUGACGGUGAAGUCCCUUGCGGAUGGAGCUAUUGAGAGUCGCAGAUACCAGGUGGCUGCAACUGUUUAUUAAAAACACAGCACUGUGCAAAAUUGUAAGAUGACGUAUACGGUGUGACGCCUGCCCGGUGCCGGAAGGUUAAUUGAUGGGGUUAGACUUCGG